GACGAACGCUGGCGGCGUGCCUAACACAUGCAAGUCGAACGGAGAAGUUAGCAAUAACUUCUUAGUGGCGAACGGGUGAGUAGCGCGUAGACAACCAACCUGCCGGUGGGGGACAACAUCUCGAAAGGGAUGCUAAUACCGCACGUGAUCCCUUGGGAGCAUUUUCGGGGGAAGAAAGGGGCCGCAAGGCCUCGCCGGCAGACGGGUCUGCGUCUGAUUAGCUAGUUGGCGGGGUAAUGGCCCACCAAGGCGACGAUCAGUAGCCGGUCUGAGAGGAUGAACGGCCACACUGGGACUGAGACACGGCCCAGACUCCUACGGGAGGCAGCAGUGGGGAAUCUUCCGCAAUGGACGAAAGUCUGACGGAGCGACGCCGCGUGAGUGAAGAAGGCCUUCGGGUCGUAAAGCUCUGUCAUCGGGGAAGAAAGGCGCUGACUCGAAUAGGGUCUAGCGAUUGACGGUACCUCCAAAGGAAGCACCGGCUAACCCUGUGCCAGCCGCCGCGGUAAUAC
rnacentral:rRNA from 1 species